rnacentral:rRNA from 1 species
UACGUAGGGUGCAAGCGUUGUCCGGAAUUAUUGGGCGUAAAGAGCUCGUAGGCGGUUUGUCGCGUCUGCUGUGAAAACUCGGGGCUUAACUCCGGGCCUGCAGUGGGUACGGGCAGACUAGAGUGCGGUAGGGGAGACUGGAAUUCCUGGUGUAGCGGUGAAAUGCGCAGAUAUCAGGAGGAACACCGGUGGCGAAGGCAGCUCGCUGGGACGUUACUGACGCUGAGACGCGAAAGCGUGGGGAGCGAUCCGG